rnacentral:lncRNA from 1 species
GCUAAGAAACAACAGAACCCAAAAGAUGGCCACAAUCAACAAGAACAAUCUAAGCAACCUAGAAGAUCCAACAUCUAGAAACACCAAUUCCAAACUUAAAGCUCGGACAUUUGUGUUGUUGCCACAGAUCCUAAGAUCUUGAGUCCUCAUCGUCGUUGCCACGAGCAUCACCACUCAAGGCCGCCCUCAAAACCUCGAACGCGGAUAGAGCCUACAGCUUCUCCGAAGACUAACACAAAAACGAGACAACUUCAAACAACAAGUUACAUCCGGCGGCACGGGAGCAUGGGCAGUUCGAGAAGCCGCCUCCAACCACAUCCUCAAGCUAUAGUAGCCUCGAGAAUCAUCUCCCACAGAUGCAACAGAGUCGCCAAAGCUAAAUCGCAGCCUCUAUUCUACACUGUCACCACCAGCGCUUGAACGGAACAAAUCAAAGUCGAAGAUGAACCAUACCAGAAGGUACCUAUGAAACCUAGCCGAAAAGAACACAUACAACACAAGAAGCGGAAGGAGCCACACCGGAACCUACAGAUCUGAGAAGGCCCAGAGAGCAAACACCAAAGGCAGAUCUCUGAAAUCCACCCUCGUUGAAGCACCACCACCAGCCGUCGCCGGUGAGAGCUCUCGCUGGAGGAGCCCAAACCCAAGACUUCCGUCCAAGCCGCACCUGUGAAGGAGAAGCAAC